rnacentral:sRNA from 1 species
GUCUAGCCCUGAUUGAAACGGCAUCCUUUUUUAUGUCUGUUCGAGUGAUUUUUAUGACAAAGGAAGAAAAAUUGUAUCGAGAACAGUAGAAAAAAGAUAUAGUGGAAAGCAGGUAACAGC